rnacentral:rRNA from 1 species
GGACGUUACUCGCAGAAUAAGCACCUGGCUAACUCUGUGCCAGCAGCCGCGGUAAUACAGAGGGUGCAAGCGUUAAUCGGAUUUACUGGGCGUAAAGCGCGCGUAGGUGGCCAAUUAAGUCAGAAUGUGAAAUCCCCGAGCUUAACUAGGGAAUUGCAUUCGAUACUGGUUGGCUAGAGUAUGGGAGAGGAUGGUAGAAUUCCAGGUGUAGCGGUGAAAUGCGUAGAGAUCUGGAGGAAUACCGAUGGCGAAGGCAGCCAUCUGGCCUAAUACUGACACUGAGGUGCGAAAGCAUGGGGAGCAAACAGGAUUAGAUACCCUGGUAGUCCAUGCCGUAAACGAUGUCUACUAGCCGUUGGGGCCUUUGAGGCUUUAGUGGCGCAGCUAACGCGAUAAGUAGACCGCCUGGGGAGUACGGUCGCAAGACUA